rnacentral:rRNA from 1 species
UACGUAGGGUGCAAGCGUUGUCCGGAAUUAUUGGGCGUAAAGAGCUCGUAGGCGGUCUGUCGCGUCGGCUGUGAAAACCCGGAGCUCAACUCCGGGCCUGCAGUCGAUACGGGCAAACUGGAGUACUGCAGGGGAGACUGGAAUUCCUGGUGUAGCGGUGAAAUGCGCAGAUAUCAGGAGGAACACCGGUGGCGAAGGCGGGGUCUCUGGGCAGUAACUGACGCUGGAGGAGCGAAAGCGUGGGGAGCGAACAGG